rnacentral:rRNA from 1 species
AUUGAACGCUGGCGGCAGGCCUAACACAUGCAAGUCGAGCGAGCGGCGGACGGGUGAGUAAUGUCUGGGAAACUGCCUGAUGGAGGGGGAUAACUACUGGAAACGGUAGCUAAAACCGCAUACCAUCAGAUGUGCCCAGAUGGGAUUAGCGAGUAGGUGGGGUAACGGCUCACCAAGGCGACACACCCGAGCUGGUCUGAGAGGAUGACCAGCAACACUGAAACUGUGACACGGUCCAGACUCCGACGGGAGGCGGCCGUGGGGAAUAUUGCACAAGGGGCGCAAGCCUGAUGCAGCCAUGCCGCGUGUGUGAAGAAGGCCUUCGGUUUGUAAAGCACUUUCAGCGGGGAGGCGUUACCCGCAGAAGAAGCACCGGCUAACUCCGUGCCAGCAGCCGCGGUAAUUC